GGUAAAUGUUCCAGAGACUUGCAGGUGUUCUCAGAUCAAAUUGGUUUCUUUCUGAAGAAAUUAUGUGAAGCGUUGACACUGCUGUCUAUAUCGUAUAUAUGUGAAUAUAAAAUGGACCAUCUCAUGCCUUCUCAUUGGAAAUACAAGAACUAACGCAGACUCACGAACUCAAGCAGAAAGGGAUUGUAUUGGCAGCGCAUCAGAAAGCUUGAAGAAUCGACAGAAAUACCUAUAAGAAAACCAACAGCAUGAAAAAAUGAAAAACAUAAAGCUACAAGAAAACUUGAUUUGAGGAAACAGCCCAAAGAAGGUCACACGGAUGCCAGCACGUGCCUGCCUGCCUCUGGAGCACAGCACUGGUCCCCACGUCUUCUUCAUCAUCUCUUCUACCAAGAAAAAAAGAAGCACCCUGUGAGUUAAGGUUGCCAGCCCCACCUGGCAGAGGAAGGAGAAGAAAGAGACCUGUGGUGGCAGAAACAGGAUUGGAACCGAGGCAGGUCUGUCUGCUCCAAAGCUUUGGGGACCAAAACCUUCACCACCAUGCUGCAGUGGCUCCCUCACCCCCAACUGAGUCUUUUCAAACAUACACAAGAAAACUCAGGGGAGUGUUCAAGCAUUUUAAAGUCAUGUGCUUUUCAUUUACCAAAAAUAAU
rnacentral:lncRNA from 1 species